AUACUCACCUGGCAGGGGAGACGCUAUGAUCACAAAGGUGAUUUUCCCAGGGUUAGGCUCAUAUUCCAGGUGUGCUGACCCCUGCAAUGUCCCCAAAUGCAGGAAAUUCGACUGCAUAAUCGGUGGCUGGGGGGACUGUGUUUGCGAUUUCCCAU
rnacentral:snRNA from 1 species